GACCUACACAAGGCUGAAAUGGACUACAAGACCAUCGCCAAGCAGCUUGGUGAGAAGGUGACAGCAGUUGGUGCGAUUAUUCGCAAAUGGAAGAAACACAAAAUAACGGUCAGUCUCCCUCGGUCUGGUGCUCCAUGCAACAUCUCACCUAGUGGAGUUUCAAUGACCAUGAGAACGGUGAGGAAUCAGCCAAGAACUACACAGGAGGAUCUUGUUAAUGAUCUCAAGGCAGCUGGGACCAUACUCACCAAGAAAACAAUUAGUAAC